GAUGAACGCUGGCGGCGUGCCUAAUACAUGCAAGUCGAGCGAACGGACGAGAAGCUUGCUUCUCUGAUUUUAGCGGCGGCCGGGGGAGAAACACGUGAAAACCCUCCCUAUAAGACUGGGAAAACUUGGGAAACCGGGAGCUAAACCCGGAAAAUUUUUGAACCCGCAGGGUUAAAAAGGAAAAGAGGGUCUUGUUGUCCUUUAUAGAUGGACCCGCGCUGCAUUAGCUAGUUGGUAAGGUAACGGCUUACCAAGGCAACGAUGCAUAGCCGACCUGAGAGGGUGAUCGGCCACACUGGAACUGAGACACGGUCCAGACUCCUACGGGAGGCAGCAGUAGGGAAUCUUCCGCAAUGGGCGAAAGCCUGACGGAGCAACGCCGCGUGAGUGAUGAAGGUCUUCGGAUCGUAAAACUCUGUUAUUAGGGAAGAACAUAUGUGUAAGUAACUGUGCACAUCUUGACGGUACCUAAUCAGAAAGCCACGGCUAACUACGUG
rnacentral:rRNA from 1 species